rnacentral:rRNA from 1 species
UACGUAGGGUGCGAGCGGUAAUCGGAAUUACGGGGCGUAAAGCGUGCGCAGGCGGUUCGUCGUGUCUGAUGUGAAAGCCCCGGGCUUAACCUGGGAAUGGCAUUGGAAACUGGCGGACUCGAGUGUGGCAGAGGGGGGUGGAAUUCCGCGUGUAGCAGUGAAAUGCGUAGAGAUGCGGAGGAACACCGAUGGCGAAGGCAGCCCCCUGGGUUAACACUGACGCUCAGGCACGAAAGCGUGGGGAGCAAACAGG